GGUGAUAGUCCCGUACACCAAAAUGCACAGGCUGUGAACUCGAAGAGUAGGGCGGGACACGUGGUAUCCUGUCUGAAUAUGGGGGGACCAUCCUCCAAGGCUAAAUACUCCUGACUGACCGAUAGUGAACCAGUACCGUGAGGGAAAGGCGAAAAGAACCCCGGCGAGGGGAGUGAAAAAGAACCUGAAACCGUGUACGUACAAGCAGUGGGAGCACCUUUAUGGUGUGACUGCGUA
rnacentral:rRNA from 1 species